rnacentral:rRNA from 1 species
CAAUAGCGUAUAUUAAAGUUGUUGCAGUUAAAAAGCUCGUAGUUGGAUUUGUGGCGUACGGUGUGUUCCGGGCACUUGUUGUCUGAGUAACCUGCUGUUGCCAUCCUUGGGUGGAACCUGUGUGGCAUUAGGUUGUCGUGCAGGGGAUACCCAUCAUUUACUGUGAAAAAAUUAGAGUGUUCAAAGCAGGCUUAUGCCGUUGAAUAUGUUAGCAUGGAAUAAUGAGAUAGGACUUUUUUGCUAUUUUGUUGGUUUGCGCAAAGAGGUAAUGAUUAAUAGGGACAGUUGGGGGUAUUCGUAUUCCAUUGUCAGAGGUGAAAUUCUUGGAUUUUUGGAAGACGAACUACUGCGAAAGCAUUUACCAAGGAUGUUUUCAUUAA